rnacentral:rRNA from 1 species
UACAGAGGUCUCAAGCGUUGUUCGGAUUCAUUGGGCGUAAAGGGUGCGUAGGCGGCGCGGUAAGUCGGGUGUGAAAUCUCGGAGCUUAACUCCGAAACUGCAUUCGAUACUGCCGUGCUUGAGGACUGGAGAGGAGACUGGAAUUUACGGUGUAGCGGUGAAAUGCGUAGAUAUCGUAAGGAAGACCAGUGGCGAAGGCGGGUUGCUGGGCUGACACUGACGCCGAUGCGCGAAAGCCAGGGGAGCGAACGGG